rnacentral:miRNA from 1 species
ACAUUUGUGCUGAUGUGUGUGUGUGUGUGUGUGUGUGUGUGUGUGUAUAUAUAUAUAUACACACACACACACACAUGCA